CCUUGGCAUUUUGCGUCCUUGUGCUUUUUCCCAGCAUUUCUUUCUCCCUUCUCUCUACACCAGAGGCCAGCAAUUUCUUUUUUCUGUAAGAGGCCAAAUAGCAAAUAGGUUAGGCAUUGUGGGUCGUAUGGUCUCUGUUGCAACUAUUCAACUCUGCCAUUAUUAUGGGAAAGCAGCCAUAAAUAAUAUCUAAACGAAUGAGUGUGGCUGUGUUUCAAAGUUCAUAUAUAAAAUGUUACAUAUAAAAAUAGGCAACAGGACAGAUUAAUCUUGUAGGCUCUAGUUUGCUGACCCUUGAUUUAUGCUAUUAAAUCCCAGCCAGUUUUAUUUCCUUUGUAGAUUCUGAAGAGCAACAUUAUUACCUAUGACAACUGACCUCUUAGAAUAUGGAAGAUUCCAGCCCCUCUGUAUCUGUAGAUAGCAAUCCUAGAUGUUAGACAAGAACUUUUCUUACUCAAAUUGUUUACCAAACUUAAUAAAAAUACAACAAACCAGGUAACCCACAAGGCCUGCUCCCUUCUCUCUUUUCAGGACCAGUGUGCUGAGUAUUGGGGGAAAAAAAUGCAAAAUUGGAAACUCAGCUGUACUCGGGAGAGAGAUCCUGUACAUGAUGCUGACGGAAAAACAUGCAAAUAGAAGCAAAGGAAAAAAAUAAGCAUCCCGGCAACAGAUCAAAUGGGACUGAAGCAACUCAGGAAAGGAUAUAUGUGAUGAGUUUAGAAGCCAAAUGAAAAAUGGUCGACUUAUCUGCACCUGAGAAAGUGACUCUGUCCAUGGUCCAGACUGCAGGACAUGUGGCAGGAAAGAGAAGCAGCCGAAAGAAAAAAGAAAGACAAGGAGAACACGGGAAGCACAGGAGAGAAGAACAACGAAAAGCAGGUUUUGACGGGUGCGUGUUUGACAGGAUCAGUGCCAUGAAUUCCGGGACAUGGUGAGAAACUGAAAGCUGGUGUGCACUGCAGACUAUGAUCCUGUUCGAGGUCCAUAUGACAAGAUGCACCCCAACAAGUGUGCCACGUGUCAGAGCAUGUUUGAGCGAGAAGUUAACGAAAGAAAAAAGAAUGAAGAAACAUCAAGUGCCAAGCCCUCAAACUAUGCAAAGGUUAUUUCUUAGAAGCUACGAAGAUAACUGUUUUACUGCUCAUCCUCAGAAUCUUGAAUGCUACUCCAGUUUUAGGAUAAUAAAGAUGCUAAUCUUUUGCUUCAAAGAAAA